GGGCCUGUAGCUCAGCUGGUUAGAGCGCACGCCUGAUAAGCGUG
rnacentral:tRNA from 1 species